rnacentral:lncRNA from 1 species
UCGAUGGACUUUAAAGGAGAUUAGUAGAACUGGCAUCCUCUCUAAGUAGAUGAUGGUCCGGUAAAAAUCUCUGAGUUGGUCAAUCGAACAAUCCCCGAGUUAUCAUCCAUGAAGAUGGAGAGGUCUCUACAUAGACAAAGGAUGAAGCGAAUGAUGGAGUUCAGAGAUAUGAAUGAUUACAGAGAGGUAUCCUUGAUCAUGUUGAGAAGCAAAAGAUGGAGACUCGAUGCACAGGCGGCGGCGAACUACGGUGACUAAACAUGCCCUAUUGCAUGAAGAACACGUAUCUCUUAUACGUGUCUUCUGUUU